rnacentral:rRNA from 1 species
UACGGGGGGGCAAGCGUUGUUCGGAAUUACUGGGCGUAAAGGGCGCGUAGGCGGCCUGCUAAGUCACACGUGAAAUCCCUCGGCUCAACCGGGGGAACUGCGUGUGAUACUGGCGGGCUUGAAUUCGGGAGAGGGAUGUGGAAUUCCAGGUGUAGCGGUGAAAUGCGUAGAUAUCUGGAGGAACACCGGUGGCGAAGGCGGCAUCCUGGACCGAGAUUGACGCUGAGGCGCGAAAGCUAGGGGAGCAAACGGGG